AUUAUUAUUAUUUUGUUAUUGCCUUUAACAGUAGUUUCAAUCGGGAGAAAAACCUGAAAUAAAAAUGGUUAUUUUGGGGUUUGUAUUUGAGACCAAAUUAUAGAAGCUCUCAAGCUUGUUCACGUAUGGAAAGAAAGCCAUACGUUGAUCAUAUUGGGUAUACUGCUGAGUAUAAAUAAUAUUGAGUCCAUUUGAGCUUGAUUUCUAAUUUGUAAGGAAUUAGGCCCCAAAGGACAUUAGUUCAGUUGACAAAACCCGGAUAGAUUGCUCCCAAUUUGGGUGGCAGGUCGAGACAUUAGCAGUCGUUAGUGUGGGAGAGCAAUCAUGAAAUAUUGGUGGACUCCUGGGAUGUGGGCAAUAAAUAUGUUGGAAAAAGUUAAAGGGUGAGAUUGUGUUUGACCUAAUUUUUAUGAGUGAGUGCCCGGUUAAUGAAAUUAUUGAAUCAUGUGGGAAUGGAUUAUCCUUCGUGGAGUGAUAACCGUAAAUAUAUUUUAUGUGCCAAAACAGAUAUAAAGGUGAAUGAGAAACUGUGUCAUCCACAGUGGGUACCAUUGAUUGGAAAAAAUGUGGAAGUCCCACAUCGGAUAAAUAAGAAUAUUUUAAAGAGUUAAUAUAAUCCAAGAUAACAUUAAACAAAAAUGAGUACUUGGAGCACCACGAGAGAGUUAUGUACAAAGUGGUUACCAGCUGUACCUUAGCUUUCAUGUUUCACGCGCUGAUUAGUUUUGCGGCGCCGUAGCCGCGAUGGCUAUGGGCAAGGGGCGCUUUGUAGCGCUAUUCGAGGAGCAAUGGGCACUGUAGGCAAGUGGGUUGCGAGGGGGGUGUACUGAUGUAAUUGGUUAAUUACUUUUAAUCCUGUAGUUUUUUAAUUACAGAUAAACUCAUUUUGUAAUUUCAAAUUCAAAUUAAACCACAUUGUAAUUUUUAAUUAAAGAUUAACCUCCCAUUUAUUUUAUUACUGAAAGCUCAAGACCUUUCAUAUUGAUAACAGCAGAUUAGCAGCCAAUAAGAGGACGAUGUAUUUGGGUCUGGUUAGUGGGCUGUUACAAUGGCUUCAAGGGUGCAUGGAAUUAAAUUCUGAACUUUUCAUCAGCCAUUGAAAAGGUCUAUAAAUCAAAAGCCCUUGCAAGUUCAAAACACCCACAAACAAAUAUGAGAGUUAUAAGUAACGAAAAGAGAGUUUCUAGCAUUCUGCAUUAGAGUCAUUGUGAGGAGUGACCCUAAAUAGUUGGUUCGUACGAGUAUCAGAAAUUGUGUUAAUUUUAUGUAAACGAGAUCGUUGACUUUCUUGGGCGACAGACGCCUAAUCAGCCGUUAAGCACCAGUGACGGGGUGAAUUCGGUCUUUUAAGGGACAGGGUGAACGCUGGACAAUCGAUCAGGCUUUGUUAUUUUUCUGUUUAUGUUUAUUAAAGUGUCGGCCAUUGUAAUUUUAUUUUCCACUUAAAAUUCAGCACUUACUGCAUUUAUUUUUUUAAAACAAUCUUAAGAUAGAAUGUCUGAUUGCAGAUGGUUGUUUACUAAACAAACAGUUUAUGAAUAUUGGUGCAAAAUAAAUGAAUUAUUUAUUAUGAUUUUGAAUACCAGAUUAGCUAAUUUCGUGUUUAAGUGCAGUAUGACAAUGUGAGAAACGAUUGCAAUCUGGGAUUGCUGAAAUGACCCAAAAUGAGCAGAAUCAUGAACGUUGGCGGAAACCCUUGCUGUUGGGCCCGGGGCCAAUGAUGGAGGGGCCAUACAGCUGCUUUGAUGGCACCAGUUCCACGAAAUAAUACGGUGACCAUGUGGCGAGAAGCCCAGCAAACGGUUCAAUGAAUCAGAUUUCAAAAGAUGGCAGGCAAAAGAUGUUGUUCUAUCUGACGGACGUGAGUCUUUGCUCGGUUUCUCAAAGAGGAUGCUCCUAUCGUGAACGAGGGCGAAAACCCAUCCGAGUUGGUUACGCGAGAGAUGUUGGGGACGUGGCUGAUUUCCUUUUGAAGGAAUUAUGUACUAAAUGGCUUGGGCGCAAUACACUCACAAUGUGUAUGUGCCAAGGACACUGCCAACGAGCUGGUUUGUGGGAGUCUUUGAAGAAGAAGUACAAAACUGAAGAGCUGGGGUUCACGAAAUUUGCGGGGGGCAGAUUUUCUAGAAUACAUGAGGUAGACGCCAAAACGGUGAUGGAGCCCAAGCUCCAAGAAUUCCAGGGUUGAUGCGGCAUGAAAUUCAUGCCGAAGGGUAUGCAAUCCUCAGCGGAAACUUUCAGAGUUAACUGAAAUGAUUGAAAAACUGCCACCUUCAUGGAAUGGCUUUCCAGAAGACUGUAUAUCUAUAAGCAACCAGCGAAAAGGAGAUAACCUAGAAGGACUGAAUUGUGCGGCUCAGAAUGAGGGAGGGACCAUUAGGUUUUCCAGAGAAGAAAAGAAGAAAAAAAUAUGAAACCAAGGCCUGGCAAUACAAUCGAAAAGACAAAAUAUUGUGGAGCAGGGUCAAAGCUUCCAAGGGUCAAAGCUACAAGACCCAAAAUGAAGGAAAUUCCAGAAUCUUGGGGUGAAGAAUAAAGGCAAAUCAAAUUCACUGGGAAGUGCUAUUCUAUGACCAGAUGGACAUAAAGCCAAAGACUGUCGACAGUCGAAGAGCAUCAAGGAAGUGGCUCACAAAAAGCCAAAGAAUUUGCUCCAAGCCAACCCUGACUGUGGAGAAUAUAUCCAAUGGAGUUAGAUAUAUGAACAUGUGUGCGUGUUCUGACUGAGGUGAACAGUGAUCGGCUCGAACACCAAGAGUGGCGUGGCUGUGGAACACAGGGGAUUACUCGCAUGUGUGCUCAAAUAAAAGUGUUCAAAACUUAUCAGGUUGUCCACAAUGGUGAUAAAUUUUCAUGGGAAAAAAACUCGCCACUUCCCAAGGUUGAAGGGAAAGGGAAAGUCGAUGUGGAAAAUGACCUCUGGGAAAGGAAACUAACCUGAAUAAUGACUCCAUGUGCCGGAGAUCCGUAAGAAAUCUUUGUGUCCGGAUAUUGCUGUUAGCAGCAUGGUUUUAAGCAUUUUUGUGUAAGAUUAAGUUUAUUAUGACUAAGGAGGUAGGGUUAGGUGGGAAAGGGGUACUUAGCUGACGGAUUAUUCAAAAUGACUGUACUCAAUGUAGUCACAAAAUGAUAUCAAUAAGAAUACUGGAAAUCUUCUGGUUUGGCUUACUUGAUGGAGUCUUCUUACAUUUGGCAUGGUAGAUUGGGACAUGGUAAUUUUGAUUCAUUCGUAGAAUUAGUUAACAUUGGAUUAUUUACUAAAAUCUUAAUAUUAAAAAUACUCACAAAGGUGAAAGAUGGGUGGAUGACAAAUUAAACAAAGCCCUUUUCAAUAUCGCUGGAAAGAAGUACUGACCUCUUGAUUUAAUCAAGUGAUAUUUGUGAUUUGAAAUUUGUUCAAACACGAGGAGGUAAAAAAAUGUUAUCAUUUAUAGAUGACAGUACAAGUAUUGUCAUCUGUACUUGCUAUGCCGUCAGGAUGAGGCGAGUUACACAAGUUUUAUGCGUAUAAAACUGAAGUUGAAAAUCAACUUGGAAAAAAGAAAAAGUGUCUAAGAAAGUGAUAGUGCUAGGGGUGCCGUAAUUGAAUCACCUUUUGGUGAGUUGAGUUGGGUCUGAACAUGGAAUAAUUCACCGCAAAUACUGCACCAUAGUGCACCACAAACAAAAUGGUGUUGCAGAAAGACAAAAUAGAACUUUUACAAGAAAGAAAUGUAUGACAUGCCUAUGUGGAUAAGUAGGGGUUAACCCAGCAUUGGUAGGGGGGAGCAGGGAAGCAUGAUUUCGCAAAGAUACAUACUAAUAAGUCCCUCACAAGGAAAACCAAUAAAUUACCAUAUGAUUGUGAAAGGUUUCAUAGGUGACCUUCCUACCCCCUUUGAAAAUAUAGUGUGGGGGGUUGUUGGGGUUGUUUGGCUAGUGCCCCCCCCCCCCCUAAGGGUUGCAAUUCAGGCCCUAAAAGGUGUAAAAAAUAGGCUCGAAAAAAUAGUGAGUGUGUAUUAAUAGGAUGAGGACCAAAACAAUAGCUAGUUGGGUUAUGAUUCCUAGUGCAUAAAAGUUGAAAAUCAUGAUAUCUGAAUGUCAAUACGCGGUUGCUGGAAUCUAGGAAGCUUAUUUUUUUGAGGACGUUUCCCCUAUAACUCUACACAAGAUUUGAAUACUUGCAGAGGAAGUAUGAAUUGCUUAGGCAGUAGUGACCAAGAUCAACAAUCCAAGAAUUUGAUCAAGAAGGGAGGCUUGAACCUAGACGUAGCCAAACGAGUCGAAAACGUCUAAAUCGUUUUGGACCAGAUGUGUCGAACUUAGUGUUAGAAAUGAACCCAAAACUUUUGGGGGGAACUAUGUCCCUAUCCGGAAGCUCCUUUAUGGAUAGGAAUCAUAUAGUAGGAUUGCAUCAUCUUGCAAAAUAAUCAUCAGGGAAUUUAGGUGAAUCGUCCACAGGUUGUAAACAACUUGGAUAUAAGUGUGAUUUUAAAAGAACCGAUGAACUAAAAGGUUCAAUUGAUAAAUCCAAGGCAAUGACGGUAGUAAAGGAUAUAGGCAAAUCGCAAGGAAUUAGGAAUUGAUUAAUUCGCUGCUACUAUUCUUCAUGUCACGAGAAUAACAUCCAUUAGAAUAAUAUUGCUAUGGAUAGACAGGCUUUCUAUAAUCGAGAGAUACAUUAAAUGGAUGUUAGGACCGCAUUUCUAUGGUGACUUAGAUGAAGCACUCUAUAUGGAACAAUUUGAAGGGUUUGUGGUUUCCAAGACAUACAAGAGAACCUACAGUGGGUAUUUGUAAACUGUUAAAUCUUAUACGGAUUAAAGCAAGCACAAAAACAAUGACAUGAGAAAUUUGACAAACAAUGGGACUGUUGUCAAAUUCAUUCAAAAUAAUGCAUGUGACAAAUGUGUCUAUGUGACGGAUAUGAUAAGGAUUAUGUCAUUGUUCUUUAUGUGGAGACAUGCUCAUCGGUUGGACGUUAAUAAUGUAAUGGGAUUAAAACUACCAAGAACAUGUUAAUUAAACUAUAGUGUUGACGAAGGAUAUGGGUUUAUCGCAGAUGUGAUUUUCAGUAUAAAUCAAUAGGAAAUUGAUGGAUUACCUUGUCACAAUCAACUAUGUUGAAAAAUUCUUGAAAAGUUCAGCGUUCAGCCAAGAAUUCAUAAAUAGUGUGGGACAAAAGAACCACAUAUUGAUCCAAACCAUCAUUUGGGAAAGAAUAUAGGUGACGGUAUAGCGCAAUUAAGUAUUCCCAAUUCAGUGGAGUUGAUGUAUCAUUAUGAAUGCACAAGGAAAGAUGGAGCUUAUGCGGGUGGUAAGUAAGCCUGAGUAGGUAUACUCAAACCCAAGUGGUGAUACAUUGGCCAAGCAAUCAAUUCGGGUUUAACGAUAUUGAAGAAUAACCUCACAAAAAUACGGUCUACACACACGAGAUAUCCAGCUUAGUAAUAGAAGGGUUCCAGUGUGCAAAUUGAUAUCCGAUAGUUAAAGACUCCUAAAUCCACGAGUGGAUAGUCUUUCCAGUUGGUGGGAUGCGCUGCUGUGUCUGAAACUCAGUCCAAGCAAACAUGUUAUAACAAGAUCCACGAUGGAAUCAGAUUUAGCUUUAGAUAAAGCUGGAGAAGACGGGCUGAAUGGCUUCGCCAUUUCUUAGAGGAUAUUCAUGUGUAGCCUAAGCCAGAGUUUCAGCAAUAUGCAUACAAUUGCGAUAGUAAAUCAACAAUUGGGAAAAAAAAGAGCAGAAAUAAACAUGUACAAUGGUAAGUUCUAAGGGACACCUACGUCGAAGAAACAAUACGUUAAAACACUUGCUUUCCUAUGGAAUAUAUAGAUUGAGUAUAAUAAAGUCCAAAACCGCCAAAAACCCUACUAGCCGGAUCCGUGACUAAAGGGAGCUGACUAUAGGAAGCAAGUUUAUCGAUUAUCGAGGAGAGAAUGGGAUUAAAGCCUUUAAUUAAAAUUGUCAAUAAAUGGGCAACACCAACUUAUGUGACAGGGAAUCCCAAGAUAUAGGUUCAAGGACAACAACCAAGUGUUUGUGACUAGUAGAGAAUCACUGUGGAAAGUUUUUUCCUACCCAUUUCUAUGAUAAAUCAAGUGAUAGUGAUACCUUGCUUCCGGUUGAGCUAAGUUUAUAUUUUAAUGUUAUCAUAUCUUGGGAAUAAUUCCGAGUAAGAUAGUGCAGGAAGGAUAUCCUUUGGUGAGAAAUCCACCAUAUGAGUGUGCCGGGGCGCUUCUAUGAGUAAAGAUAAAUGAUUCUCUAAAGCACUCAUGAAAUUAAAAUGGGAGAUUGCCAAACGGGGCCAAAAUGGGGCACACCCAUGAGAACCGUUUUGUGGUUUGGGAAUACCUCCUGUGAUAAUUAUUGUUGGUGCUUACACCAAUUAGCCUUGAACAGUUAAGGGCAAUAAUGUUCCAUUGGGGGCAAUUAGCUCGUAAUGUCGAUUAGUUUUUCACAAGGUUAGGUAAAGACCAAAAGCUGACCUAAACCUCUAUACAGGGAAUUCUUUUCUUACGUUCUCUUAUUAGGAAUCAUGUGUUUGGUGCAUUAUUAAAACAGAACAAAUUUUCAUUCAUGUGGGGGGAUGUUGUGAAAAAAGUCACGGUGAGCUGAGUUUGACCUAAUUUUAUGGGUUGGGUUCGGCGGUUAUCGAAAUUAUUGAAUCCUGUGUGGAGGAUUCUCCUUCGUUGUAGUAGAUAAACGUAGUAUAUUUCUGUUGCUACAAAAAAGAUAAAAGGGUGAUUUGAGACAAUAUAUUCAUCACAUUAGUGGGGACAAUUGAUGAAAAAGGGGGAAGUCCCAACAUCGGAUAAAAGGAAAUUUAAAGGGUUAAUAUACUCCCAGAGUAACAUGUUAAACAAAAUCGAGUACUUGGAGCACCAGAGAGGGAGUUAUGUACCAGUGAUGGUACAUUCUGUACUGGCUUUCAUUGUGCGGCGCGCGGCUGCGCCGUAGCCGCGAGUCGCGUGGCGCUAGGUUUGAGCGUGGGGCGAUGGCGCAAUGGGCGCUAUGAGAGGAGCAGUGGGCACCCUUAGCACGUGGGUGCGAUGGGGGUGUAGGAGAGUAAUUGGUUCUUACUUUUAAUCUUGUAGUUUUUUAAUUACAGAAAAACUCCUUGGUAAUUUAAUAAAAAUUAAACACCAUUGUAAUUUAAUUACAGAUUAACCUCCCAUUUUAUUUCUAUUAGACUGCAAGCUCAAGACCUUUCAUCUUGAUUAACCGCAGCCAUUCUCGCCAUUAAGGGACGAUUGAUUUGGCUGGUUUAGUGGGCUGUGUGUACAAUGCUUCAUAGGGAAAAUUCGUGAUUUUCAUCAGCCAUUGAAAAAUCCUAUAAAUACCAUAAAUACAUUGAAAGUUCAAAAAACACUGUUUUAAAAAAAAUCUGAGCGUCAUCAGUCAGGGAAAAAAGAGAGUUUCUAGCAUUCUGCAUUAGAGUCAUUUUGUUGAGAGGAGAGAGGAGUGACACUAUUUUGGUUCGCCGAGUAUACAAAAAAUUGUGCUAUAUUCUGUAGCGAGAU
rnacentral:lncRNA from 1 species